CAUUUUUGACAUAUUCUAUAUGAUUUGGAACCUUCAAGUAUCAUCUUGAUUUAUUGGUUUGCAACAGGUAAAGAUUUGGGAAGACAGGAAGGCAUUGCCACAUGUGCACUAGGACCCUCUAAUUCCUGCUUUUUCUUUAGCCCAUCUGGGACUUAAUUCACCUUUCUUAGUACAUCUUUGUUACAUAUUUUGACUUAGAAGUUAUUGUAUCAAAUGACAAAACUUCUAUUACAAAUUUACAAUUAUAUGCCACAUGUGCAAUUUGUAAGUAAUUUCUAAGCUUUUAUACCAACUUCGACUGAAUUAAUAGAAUUUUCAUUCGAGGCCAAUAGUCUGUAUAGAUGGGGAUAUUUUGCAUUAAUGAUGAUGAUACAGAUCAUUCAUCUAGUGGAUCCCAAUGUUAAUGUUCAACAGAUCAGAAAUCUACUCUGUUGAACAAUCAUAGCUAUCUGAUCGAUGGACUUCCUCGAGUUGCAUAUGUAUAUCUCUAGUUGCUGCAUCAUUUCAUCUACAAUUUGAUCUUUACAAAUGUUUCUGCAUCAUAAAUACUGGGAAUGUAAUUACAAUUUGAUCAUUGCCGGUCUACAAUUUGAUCUUUCCUAUUAACUAAAUUAUGUAUUUCAAGGUUAUUUUCUCCAUCAACGCAAGCCAGAGAUGACAGAUUUCCUGAGAAAGGUCAGGUUUUUUUUUUUCAUACGAAACUAAAGAGCAAUGAUUGUGUAUGCUCAGUAGUUCUAUUUUGACCAAAAGUUGUUGGCUGGGGCUCAUCUUCAAUUGGAGAUUUCCUUAGUGUUUCUCUUCAACAACAGUUGGCUAUUCAUUAGUUAUUAAGUUGGCUGAAUUUGAUGCUUUCUCUUUCACUAAUAGUUGACUGGAUGCAAGUGAGCUUUGUAAUAUUACGAGUUCUAAGUAGGUGUUGCAGAACUUAAAGUUGCAGUUGAAAGGAGUGGGGGGUUGGUUGUGCUGGCGGAAAGCUUUGGCCAUUCUGUUUUUAAGGAUUCUCUCAAAUGCAUUUUUCAGUCCACUGACUACGACUUUGGUCUAUCAUUUAAGCUUCAGAUGAAUUUGUUAAGAGGCGUGAAGAGAUGUGCCCAAGUGUGUGUUGAGAAGGUAUUUAUGUCUUUCGAAUCCACUGUUCGUAAGAGGGCAAGCGAAAUGGUAGGGUC